rnacentral:tRNA from 1 species
GUGGUGGCUCAGUGGUAGAGCGCUUGCCUCACAUGCAUGAGGCCCUGGAUUCGAUUCCUCAGCAUCACA